GACGAACCGUACGAACGUUAUUCGGAAUCACUGGGCGUAAAGGGUGCGUAGGCGGCGCGGUAAGUCGGGUGUGAAAUCUCGGAGCUUAACUCCGAAACUGCAUUCGAUACUGCCGUGCUUGAGGACUGGAGAGGAGACUGGAAUUUACGGUGUAGCGGUGAAAUGCGUAGAUAUCGUAAGGAAGACCAGUGGCGAAGGCGGGUCUCUGGACAGUUCCUGACGCUGAGGCACGAAGGCCAGGGGAGCAAACGGG
rnacentral:rRNA from 1 species